UGCGCAGGCGGGCUUGUAAGUCAGUGGUGAAAUACUGCCGCUUAACGGUAGAACUGCCAUUGAUACUGCGAGUCUUGAAUAUGGUUGAGGUAGGCGGAAUGUGUAGUGUAGCGGUGAAAUGCAUAGAUAUUACACAGAACUCCGAUUGCGAAGGCAGCUUACUAAGCCAUAACUGACGCUGAGGCACGAAAGCGUGGGGAGCGAACAGGAUUAGAUACCCUGGUAGUCC
rnacentral:rRNA from 1 species